AAAAAAGGUAAGCUACUAAGAGCGAAUGGUGGAUGCCUUGACUGGUAAAGGCGAUGAAGGACGUACUAGACUGCGAUAAGCUACGGGGAGCUGUCAAGAAGCUUUGAUCCGUAGAUUUCCGAAUGGGGCAACCCAAUGUAUAGAGAUAUACAUUACCUAUAUAGGAGCGAACGAGGGGAAUUGAAACAUCUUAGUACCCUCAGGAAAAGAAAUCAAUAGAGAUUGCGUCAGUAGCGGCGAGCGAAAGCGCAAGAGGGCAAACCCAGUGCUUGCACUGGGGGUUGUAGGACUGCAAUGUGCAAGAGCUGAGUUUAGCAGAACAUUCUGGAAAGUAUAGCCAUAGAGGGUGAUAGUCCCGUAUGCGAAAAACAAAGCUUAGCUAGCAGUAUCCUGAGUAGGGCGGGACACGAGGAAUCCUGUCUGAAUCCGGGUCGACCACGAUCCAACCCUAAAUACUAAUACCAGAUCGAUAGUGCACAAGUACCGUGAGGGAAAGGUGAAAAGAACUGAGGUGAUCAGAGUGAAAUAGAACCUGAAACCAUUUGCUUACAAUCAUUCAGAGCACUAUGUAGCAAUACAGUGUGAUGGACUGCCUUUUGCAUAAUGAGCCUGCGAGUUGUGGUGUCUGGCAAGGUUAAGCAAACGCGAAGCCGUAGCGAAAGCGAGUCUGAAUAGGGCGCUUAGUCAGAUGCUGCAGACCCGAAACGAAGUGAUCUAUCCAUGAGCAAGUUGAAGCUAGUGUAAGAACUAGUGGAGGACUGAACCCAUAGGCGUUGAAAAGCCCCGGGAUGACUUGUGGAUAGGGGUGAAAGGCCAAUCAAACUUCGUGAUAGCUGGUUCUCUCCGAAAUAUAUUUAGGUAUAGCGUUGUGUCGUAAUAUAAGGGGGUAGAGCACUGAAUGGGCUAGGGCAUACACCAAUGUACCAAACCCUAUCAAACUCCGAAUACCUUAUAUGUAAUCACAGCAGUCAGGCGGCGAGUGAUAAAAUCCGUCGUCAAGAGGGAAACAACCCAGACUACCAGCUAAGGUCCCUAAAUCUUACUUAAGUGGAAAACGAUGUGAAGUUACUUAAACAACCAGGAGGUUGGCUUAGAAGCAGCCAUCCUUUAAAGAAAGCGUAAUAGCUCACUGGUCUAGUGAUUUUGCGCGGAAAAUAUAACGGGGCUAAAGUAAGUACCGAAGCUGUAGACUUGCACACAACUUAGAUUAUUUAAGUUUAGAAUAAGUAGUUUAAGUUGUGUGCAAGUGGUAGGAGAGCGUUCUAUUUGCGUCGAAGGUAUACCGGUAAGGAGUGCUGGAGCGAAUAGAAGUGAGCAUGCAGGCAUGAGUAGCGAUAAUUAAUGUGAGAAUCAUUAACGCCGUAAACCCAAGGUUUCCUACGCGAUGCUCGUCAUCGUAGGGUUAGUCGGGUCCUAAGUCGAGUCCGAAAGGGGUAGACGAUGGCAAAUUGGUUAAUAUU
rnacentral:rRNA from 1 species